GACGAACGCUGGCGGCGUGCCUAAUACAUGCAGGUAGAACGCACAGUUUAUACCGUAGCUUGCUACACCAUAGACUGUGAGUUGCGAACGGGUGAGUAACGCGUAGGUAACCUGCCUGGUAGCGGGGGAUAACUAUUGGAAACGAUAGCUAAUACCGCAUAAUAUUAAUUAUUGCAUGAUAAUUAAUUGAAAGGUGCAAUUGCACCACUACCAGAUGGACCUGCGUUGUAUUAGCUAGUAGGUGAGGUAACGGCUCACCUAGGCGACGAUACAUAGCCGACCUGAGAGGGUGAUCGGCCACACUGGGACUGAGACACGGCCCAGACUCCUACGGGAGGCAGCAGUAGGGAAUCUUCGGCAAUGGACGAAAGUCUGACCGAGCAACGCCGCGUGAGUGAAGAAGGUUUUCGGAUCGUAAAGCUCUGUUGUAAGAGAAGAACGGGUGUGAGAGUGGAAAGUUCACACUGUGACGGUAUCUUACCAGAAAGGGACGGCCAACUACGUG
rnacentral:rRNA from 1 species